rnacentral:lncRNA from 1 species
GGGAGAUUCCAGGUCAGACAGAACUCAGCCCCAAUUAAAGGGGACUGAGGCUUCUGAAGGGAGAACAGAGAGAGAACAAAAAGGGAUGCUGGGGAAGUGAAGAAGGGGGAACAAAAAGGGCCUGGGGUUUAUGUGGAAAUGGAAAUUACAGAAGGGGUCACUAGAGAAUUCCUGAAAACAAUUUGGUGCAAGCUGGGUUGGGACAAUGCACAUUUUGUGGUUUGGUAGCAUUGCAUUUUCUUGAGUAAAGACUUAGUGCAAGGCAGGGGUGGGGCCACCUUUAGAGACACAGCCUAGAGCAGGCGGAGCCAGCCUGAAAUGUGGUCAAGUCUCAAGCAUGGUGCCUAAGGGAGCGAUCUGUGCCUCCUGAGAGCUCACUGUUCACAGGCCCAAGCCUUCAAACUCUAGAGCAAGGCACAGGGAGCGGGAUUUUGCAAAUUAUUUUUCAAAGGAAGUCUCAGGGGCAAAGGAGAAGCCCAUUGUCUUCUCCUUUGUAUCAUUUGUAUCAUUGUCUUCUCCAUUGUAUACAUUUCUUUUGUGUCUUGUCCUCUCACAGUGUCCAUCAGAAGGCCCCUGCUGAGUAGUUGGCAGGGUGGCUGCACAUAAUGGAAAGCACAUAAGCUUGAAGCCAGACAGAUGGGAGUUCUAACCCCAGCCCUGCCACUUAUUCCCAGGUGACACUGAGUAAGUGACUUAACUUUCCUCAGCCUGAGUUUCCUAAUCUCAAUCACGUUACCCACCUGGCACCUUGUUGGAAGGUUUAUAUAAACCAAAAUGUGUACAUGCUAAGCACAGUAUGUGGCCAUAGGCAGUUCUCAGUAAGGGGGAUGAUAAAUCUAUCAUGGGCUGGGUUUUGACACUGUUCACCCGCGCCUAGCAACUAGAGAUUCCAAGAGAUGAAAGAUCAGGGAGGAAGGACCACACCUCUCUGCCAGAGGCCUGGAGGGGAAGCUCCUGGUGACAGAGGCUGGAUUCCAAAGUGUCUCUUCUUUGACGUUGGUACCAGUCCCACUCGUGUUUUGCAUGAGAUUUGCCCCCAGACCCUGUGGACUGAGCUAAGCCCCGCAGGGGUGGCGCUUCUCCCUCCCUGCUCAGUGCCCAAACCUUCUGCUUCAAAGCCUCUAUGGAGAUAGCUUUCUCAUUUGGCCCAGGCGGCCAAUUCCAGUGGAGUAUAUGAUAUCGUCCACAGGCUGUUGGCUCAAUGUGGAGAAACACAAAACCAUCUUGAAAUGCGACUUUACAGUUUUGAUUUUGCUUGUUUAUAAAUGUAUACUGUAAGCAAGCUGCCAUCGCCUACAAUCCGGUCUCUUCUCUGGCAUCUAAUUACCUUUAGAGCAUGAAUAUCAACAUCAAGAAGAUGUUUUUUCCCCAGCCAAAGAGCAAUUGGAAACAUUUGAUACCCUUUUCACCAUUAAGGAUGGAUAGGAAGGGGAGGUUAUAAAAUAUGGCCCUAUUGGCCUGGCGCGGUGGCUCACACCGAUAAUCCCAGCACUUUGGGAGGCUGAGUGGGGUGGAUCACCUGAGGUCGGGAGUUUGAGACCAGCCUGACCAACAUGGAGAGACACUGUCUCUACUAAAAAUACAAAAUUAGAUAGGUGUGGUGGUACAUGCCUGUAAUCCCAGCUACUCAGGAGGCUGGGGAAGGAGAAUUGCUUGAACCCAGGAGGCAGAGGUUGCGGUGAGCUGAGAUCACACCAUUGCACUCCAGCCUGGGCAACAAGAGCAAAACUCCGUCUUAAAAAAAAAAAAAAGUACCUAUUGCACUUUUCGAUAGUCUUUAUGCCUAGCUAGGAAAUAAAGCUCCACCGUGUUAUGUCCUGUCAAGUUACCAUCCGUUCACUCAACAAAUAUUUAUUGAGCGCCCUCUCUAGGGCAGGCAGCACUCUAGAUACUUGGUCAGUGGACACAACAGGUGAUGAUCCUGUCAUUGACACCUUGGUACAGGUGGUGCUUUCCGCCAGGUUCACCUUUCUCCUUGCUCUACCUGGUGAAUUUCUAUUGUCCUUCAAGACUCAGUUCAAACCCAUCUCCCCUGGAAGGGUUUCCCUGUGUGCUUUCUCUGUGUUGUCAUAACACUUUGUACAUAUCCCUUUUAUUGCACUUUAUUACCUUGUUCUCUACAUUAAUAGACUAUUCUGGGGGGCAGUUGCAGGUUUACAGAAAAAUUGAGUAGAAAGUAUAGUUACCAUAUAACUUCCUCAACACCUCUUCUCGGACUUUCCCCUAUAUUAACAUCUUGCAUUAGUGUGGUACAUUUGUUACAAUUGAUGACUAAAUAUGGAUACAUUAUUAUCAACCAAAAUCUAUAGAUUACGUUAGGGUUCACUGUUUGUAUUGUACAUUCUAUAGGUUUGAUGAAGAUAUAAUGACAGGUAUCAACCAUUACAGUAUCAUACAGAAUAGUUUCAUUGCCCUAAAAAUAUUGUGUUCGACCUAUUUAUCCCUCUCUCCCUCCCCUGAGCCCCUGGCAACCACUGAUCUUUUUACUGUCUCCAUAGUUGUGCCUUUUCCAGAAUGUCCUAUAGUUGAAAUCUUGCAGUAUGUAGCCUUUCCGAUUGGCUUCUUUUACUAGCAAUAUGCAUUUAAGGUUCCCCCACAUCUUUUCUUUUUUUUUUUUUUUUUUUUUUUUUUUAAAUUGGGAUUUUCUUAGGAAAGUUUAAUAAAGGGAUUAUUUGCAAAGAUGUGGCAGGUUGUAGAGAUGAUGCUCUGCCCUGGAGCUAGUAAUGGCAGGGCUGUUACCUGUCCUUAAGCCUGAAGGGAAGAGGGUAGGGAGUAGUUUUCCAGAACACAGAAGGAGAGUCUCCUAGAAAGCUUCUGGGGAGGAAUAGUGACAGCCUAAGGCAAUGCUGCAGGGCAAGCAUUCAGAAUAAAUCCCCAGCCUCACUCUCAGCCCUCCCUCUCAUCUUCUGUCUGGGCACCCUAUUGGCUAAACCAAAAAAAAAAGCAAAGGACAAGGGAGCCUCUAGUGGUCCAUGCAGGUCAGCCUCCUUGGGAGGGAGACCAAGGAGUAGCAGGUGGACAGUGGAUCUGAAGGAAAAAAUGACAAUAUCUAGUAUAAAUACAUAUCUCAUUUAAUUUGCACAAGAACACUCAUUAUUCACAUUCUGCAGAUGAGGAAAUUGAGGUCUAGAGACUAAGUAACUAGUUCAAGGUCAGAUAGUUAAGUUAAGGAGUCAAAUUAGCAUCUACCCCCACAUCUUUUCUAUAGCUCAUUUGCUUUUAGUGCUGAAUAAUAUUCCACUGCAUGUAUGUACCACAGUUUGUUUAUCCAUUCACCUAUUGAAAGACAUCCUGGUUGCUUUCAUGUUUUGGCAGUUAUGAACAAAGCUACUGGAAAUGUCUGAGUGGAAGUUUUUGUGUGGAUGUAAGUUUUCGGCUCCUUUGGAUAAAUACCAAGGAGCAUGCUUGCUGGAUCUUAUGGUAAGAGUAUACUUAGUUUUGCCAGAAACUUCCAAACUGUCUUCUGAAGUGGCUGUACCAUUUUGCAUUCCCACCAGCAACAAAUAAGAGCUCCACUUACUACUUUUCAUUUUAUCUGUUAACUGCUCUGCUCCCACCACCAUCUACCCUUCAGAUUGUGAGCUACCUGAGCAGGAUAGCCAGGUGUUAUCAUUGCAUCUUCAGUGUUUGACACUGAAAUGUUUAUGGUAUUAAUAAUUUGUCGAGUUUAAAUUUUAAAUUGCAGAAUGAUCUCUCAAGUAAUAGCACAUACCUCUGGAUGCUACUUUGGUAGGGGGGAGGGCAUUUAGAGGCAUAUGUUAUGGCCAAUGGAAGACCUAGCUUCUGUUCUGUGGAUAUGUUAUUAUCUACAGCAUGUUAACAUCGAGUUUAAAUAAUGUUCAGAACUAGAGUCCAACCAUAGUCCUCGAAUAACUUAUCCUUUAUAUUUUCAUUUUGUAACUUUUGUUAUUUUGUUAAUAAACUGUUAAAGAAUUGACCAUCAUGACCAUAACUACACUUAUCAGCUGUCACCUAGAUCUCAUAAAAGACUUACACAUCUCAGCCAUAGCAAUCUUUUUGCAAUCCACUGGGGAAGACAGACAACGGAAUAGGUAAGGGCAAUGGAGAAUCCAAAGCUGUAACAGAAGGAUGCAUUAAGGACCAUGGGUGCCCAAAGAGGACUCCUAACCUAGUUUUGGCUUGAGAAGGUGCAAUGGAUUUGAUUCCUGUUCAGCAAAUACUUGCUUUCUCCUUCCCUCUCCUGGGAAGAAUAAUCUUCCUCGUCAGACCCAGCUGUGGGACUUGCUAUGGCCAAUGGAACAUGAGUGGUCACGACGCAAACAGAAGCUUUCAAUGUGCUCAUGUGGUUUUGUCCUUUUUUGCUCUCCUAAUCCACCAUGAGGAGAGCAUCCCCUAGGUACAUGGUGUGCCCUAAGUUAGGGUUCUGGAAUGAGAGACACAAAAGCAGACCUGAACCCACAUCCUGGGCCAGAGUCCCCUCAGCUGACCUGCAGACCUGCGAGUAGGAAAAAAUGUUCAUUAAUGUUUGGGGGUUAUUUGUUACACAGCAUAAUCAGCAAUAGCGACUAGUACAGAAAUCCUCCUGGGGAAGGAGUAACAAUAAGAAAUGUUAUCCAGAUGGACAGGGAAAGGUUAAGAGAAAAGCUGGCUUAGUGCAGGGAGCUGUGAGUACAAUGAAUAAUAUUUAUAACUGGCAUGAGACCACUUGAUAAUUUGCUACAAAUGAGAAGUAGAUGGAUGGAAGGCAGGCUAGAGCUGGUAACAAUCACUGCGGUAAUCACCGUUACGAUCUAAACUGCUUACUCCUUCCUGGCAAUGGCUCAUUACUGGUGUGCCAAUCAUGAUUAUCCUGUUCCUAACUUUCCCAGCCUCUCUGCAGCUAGGGAGUAGCUAGUGACCCAGUUCUGGCCCUUGAGACCUAAACAAAAAUUUUCUCAUGGAUUUCUGGGAAAGGCUUUUCUUUCCUGAUGAAAGAUGUCAGAUGUGGUUAAGGCAGUCUUCCCCCUCUCUCCAGGCUUAAACAAGGAUGCAAUUGCCUGAGUUCUAACAGCCCUCUUGCAUCUAGGAAGAAAUGUCCAGAAUUUCAGAGACAUUGGCCCCAUCAUUUUUGAGCUCCUGAACUGAAACCUGCAACUACCUACUUCUAGACAUCUUACUGUAUGCGAAAAAUAACUCCUUCUCUGUUUAAGCAUAAGGAGGAUUUUGUAUUAGGUAUCAUGUUCUGCAUUAGCUUGCUUUCCUAACUAAAAUAAUAGCUAACAUUUACAAACACCACAAGCCUGGCACUGUGUUAAGCAUGUUAUAGCCAUUAUGCCAUUUAACCUAAGUAAUAAUCCUAUGGAAAAGUGGUAUUAUUGCCACAUUAGAACUUUUCCCAGAGAUCAGAUCUGCUAAAGGCUCUGCUACUCCAAUUCUACCUAACUCCUGGGGUGCAAACCCUAGUCCGGCUGUACCUACUCCAAAACAAUAAGUAAAAGCUUUACUCCACCUGGAUAUAGGCUGAGCCAGAAAUCACUUUGAGAAACAGAGAUUUGAGCCAAGGUCCUCAAUCCCUUCCAAUGGCAAGGGAGAAAGUUGUGAGUUGGGGCUGAAGAUCUUGAGCUUCUGGGGUCCCCACAUUUCUGAGCUCCAUGCUGUCAAGUGGGUUACUGGGAUGAGCAGAAAGAAUGUUGAGGAUUCUCCAAAUUAUUAUUAUUAUUAUUAUUAUUAUUAUUUUUGUGAGACAGAGUCUCGCUCUGUCUCCCAGGCUGGAGUACAGUGGCACGAUCUCGGCUCACUGCAAGCUUCGCCUCCGGGGUUCAUGCCAUUCUCCUGCCUCAGCCUCCCGAGUAGCUGGGACUACAGGCACCCACCACCACGCCCGGCUAAUUUUUUGUAUUUUUAGUACACCGUGUCAGCCAGGAUGGUCUCAAUCUCCUGACCUCAUGAUCCACCCGCCUCAACCUCCCAAAGUGUUGGGAUUACAGGCGUGAGCCACCACGCCCGGCCCGAGGAUUCUCCAAAUAUUUCUGGAUCCCAGGGUUAGCCAGCCUCCCUCUCUAGAAGCUCUGAUAGGGGAGAGGGUUGGGUGUGUAUGGAAAGGCCUCUGUCAGAGUCAGCUUAAUGAUACUAUUUAAACAAGCCUUGUCUCCACUUGCUUCUGCUAUGACUGCUAGAUUUCACCAAUCAGUUUAAGAACCAAACACCUUGGGAUAGUUAAGAAGAAGGUGAAGCAGUCAUUAAAAAAAAAAGAAGAACAAAACCAUGUCCUUUGUAACUACAUGGAUGGAGCUGGAGGUCAUUAUCCUAAACAAACUAACACAGAAACAGAAAACUGAAUACCAUAUGUUCUCACUUGUAAGUGGGAGCUAAACAAUGGGCACAUAAAGAUGGACAUAAAGAUGGAAACUAUAGACAGUGGGGACUCCCAAAGGGGGGAUCAUUAGAGUGGGGGAUAGAGUUGAAGAAUACCUAUUGGGUACAAUGUUCACUAUUUGGGUAAUGGACACACUAGAUGCCCAAUCCCACCAGUACAUAAUUAUACCUGUGUAGCAGAUAUGCACAUGCACACCUUGAAUCCAGAAUAAAAUACAUUUUUUUUAAAAAAAGAAAAAAAAAUUCAAUCAGUAUGUAUGCAUCAUGAAAUUUUUAUUCCAUUCUGAUCAGUCACUAACAGAAUGAACUUUUCUAAAUGAGAAAGUUUGUCUUCUGAAUUUUAAGCAGAGCACACUUGAAUUUUGAUGCUGAUAAUAAAAUGUAGUAUAGCAAUAUGCAAUUCAUCACUGUUUUGAUUUUCUGACAGGUGGAAAUUAGGCCAAAAUAAAUACUACUUUCUGCUUAAAAAAAUGCAGGUGAGCACUAUCAAUAAUUCACUCCUUAGUAUGGAUUCGUUUGCUUCUAUUAUCCCUGUAAUGCUUGGGCAAAAAGUGCUCAAGAAUGAAAGUUUUGUUAGGGAAUGUUGAAUAAAUGUUGCAGAAUAAAUAAAUGUGUGUAUGAAUGAGCUGUAUUCAUGGAAGAUUGUUCAGAAACCUAUAGGUGGCCUCCUCAGAGCUGUACCCAGGGGUGUGCGUACGAAUACACGCACACACACACACACACACAUUUUAAGAGGAGAUGUGGAGCUUUCUAGGUCUUCUUGGUUAACAGGAGCAAGACUCAAAAUGUUUGAGAAGUUAAAACAAGGGGACUAGUGUAACAAGAUUACGUUUAACAAGGGCAGGUGUUGUACUCUGAACAUUUGUUGAAAACUGCCGCACACAUGGAGGCGAUGAGGGAGGUGAGGCUUAACAGACUCACGUGUGAAAAAGACAGGGGUCCCCUAAGUGGACAGGCAGCUCCUGCACUGUCAGGGGUAGGACCUGGCUGCCAAGAACAUUAAUGAGCUCCCAAGCUGCUUUAAUACAAGCACGGUUUUCAGAGGGAGAGACCCGAUAGGACGUGAGUCAGACCACACCUGAAGUCUGGGACUCACUUCUGGAGAGAAACACCAGCAAAGUGGUGACCAAGCCAAAAGCCACUUGACAGAAGAAGGGACAAGGUGGAAAAGCAGGGCAGAAGAGGUGGCCGCAAAGGAGCGAGAAUGCUGCGAACAGCUGGAGGGCAGGUGAUGUCCAAAGAGAAGGGAGGAGGAAGGAUGAAAGGAAAGACAGAGGAGGAAGGAAGAGAAGAAAGAAGAGUGGCCGGCACAAGGGCUUGGAGAUCCCUGAAGCUGUUUUCCUUUCUCCUCACCCCCACAGGGAGGGAUCCACAUCGUUGUGGGGUUUUUGUUGUUGUUGUUUUUGUUUUUGUUUUUUUGCCUCCCUUCAUCAAAGCAUUCAUUGUAGUGUAUGGUAAUUGUCUCUGAAUGUAACAGCCUCUCUUCCCUGAGGCCUGGGUCUGCUUGUUUCAUACCAUCUUCUCCUUAACACACAGUGCUUGGUAAACAAUACCUAUUAAUAAACAUUUGUUGAAUGAAUGAAUGAGUGAAUGAACGAAUACUGCACUCUUUCG